UUAGCUGGUCUGAGAGGAUGACCAGCCACACUGGAACUGAGACACGGUCCAGACUCCUACGGGAGGCAGCAGUGGGGAAUAUUGGACAAUGGGGGCAACCCUGAUCCAGCAAUGCCGCGUGUGUGAAGAAGGCCUGAGGGUUGUAAAGCACUUUCAGUGGGGAGGAGGAUUGACAGGUUAAGAGCUAGUUAAUUGGACGUUACCCACAGAAGAAGCACCGGCUAACUCCGUGCCAGCAGCCGCGGUAAUACGGAGGGUGCGAGCGUUAAUCGGAAUUACUGGGCGUAAAGGGUGCGUAGGUGGUUAAUUAAGUUAUCUGUGAAAUCCCCGGGCUCAACCUGGGCAGGUCAGAUAAUACUGGUUAACUCGAGUAUGG
rnacentral:rRNA from 1 species